UGUGAUAGGGAAAUAAAGACG
ensembl:piRNA 21ur-5450 ncRNA